rnacentral:misc_RNA from 1 species
UUUCCGUAGGUGAACCUGCGGAAGGAUCAUUAUUGAAACUUCAUCCGGGGCGCCGCGGCCCUCAGCACCGGUGGAAACGCCGUGCUGCGGGGGCCGCGCGCGCACUCGUCCAAACCAAACCCCUGUGAACCUUACGGGAUGGCCCGGGUUAGCCCCGGUGCCGUUCCGCUUUAUACAAACACUUAUCAAAGAAUGAACUGAAGGCGGUCUGACCGCUGGAUAACAAACUGAAACAACUUUCAACAACGGAUCUCUUGGCUCUC